rnacentral:Y_RNA from 1 species
AAUUUGAAGGUAGUGAGUUAUCUUGAUUGUUCAGUCAGUUGCAGAUCAAACUCCUUGGUCUACUCUUCCUCCCCUACUCACUACUGUAUUUGACUAGUCUUAA